AGGCAAACCCAGAAGAAUGUGUCAAGCAAGAAACAAGUGAACUCAUCAGAACCUUUUUCCUGCUGUGACCUGAUAACAACAGAGUUUGAAACUGAGGCAGCUCUGAAGUGGUGGAGGAAAUUUGGGCACCAGGUCACCUUGGCAGAUACACUGUGCUAUUCUCAGACUUGCUGAGCCUCCUUGCCAUCCUCCCUGUCCCUUCUCACUUGUCUCUGGUCUGAAAGGACAUUUGAACUCUGCUUUCUUGGAACUGAAAAUAAGCAUGUGAGGGAAUGCAGAGAACUACUCCUGGCUUUGAUGUCUCUUUACCAACAUGACAGAAUCUGGUUUCUCCACAUAUCUUGAUUCUUCAAACCUUACCUACAGUGCAUCUGUCUAAGUCCCUAGUGCACUGUUUCUGGGAUCUGGAAAGUUGGGAGGGAAAGAUGAAAGAAAAAAGUAAACAGUAUCAAGAACCAAACUUAAAAAAACAUAUCUUGAAGUGACAUUAUCUAUUUGUUUUAACCCAAAAUAGACUUUUUUGUCACCAGUGUGUUUAGGAAAUGCAAGCUAAUUUUAAUAUUACAGUAUUAUAAUGAUUAAGCAGGUAAGUCUGUGGCUUAUGUGUAAAUAAUCCACGCUGGCGUUUUUUCCUUCCCUUUAUGUUCCAUGCAGUUGUUGCACGCUGUUAUUACAAGCAACGGAGAGUUGGCUGUAAUUACUUCCAGACGCUUGGAUUAAUCAAUGAGGGUAAAGGCCAGGCUAGAUAAACAUGAAAGUCUGCAGUUGCAGAUAAAGGCGCUAACGUGUCUUCAGAAGCUUUGACUUAUCUGUGCUGGUUGAAUUGGAUUCAGUGAUCUGUAAGGCCCGCUCCAAAAUUGCUUUCUCUUUAUCCCUAAAUUUUUCUCCUAUAUCAGCUUACCAAUAUUUGAGGGUUGACCUGACUGCUGCAAUCGUCUGUCUUUUUGAUAAAUUAAUAUGGACAUCAACUUAAGAUUACAUGGAAAGGUUAAAUAUUUCUUGUGCUUGACUCCACAUUCAGUAUUCUAUGAGGAAGAUUGCUCUAGUAUUGCUUUGUGUGAAAUCGGAAUAAGCACCAACCCUAAGAUUAAACAUUUUGAUAAAUUCUUUACAUGUCCCAAACUAUUCACACAAUGUUAUGGACUAAAUGUUUGUAGCCACCCCGCCCCCCCCCCCCCCCACGAAAAUUCGUAUGUUGAAGCCCUAGCCGCAAAUGUGAUGGCAUGAGGAGGUGAGCCUUUGGGAGGUAAUUCGGUUUAGAUGAGGUCCCAGGGGUGGUGCCUCCUGAGGGGAUUAGUGCCCUUGUGUGCAAAGGGAGGCGCACCAGAGCAGCUGCUUUCCUCGCGUGCAUGAAGAAGAGCUCACGUGAGCACAUGGUGAGAAGGCGGCCACCUACAAACCCAGAGAAGAGGCCUUAGGAUGAAGCCUGCCUUGCCAGCACCUUGGUAUUGGACUUCUCAGCCUCCAGAACUGUGAGAAAUAAAUUUCUGUCAUCUAAGCCUCCUGAUCUAUGGUAUUUUGUUAUGGCGGCCCAAGCUGACUAAAGCAUCCAACUAGAGAGUUUACCCAUGUAAAUCUCUUCCCCUGAUUUUAAGUCCAGGUUCCGAGACUCAGAGAGUUUAGUAACUUGGUAAGCUUUCCAUGGAAAAACUGUUGUAAAAGCAGUUCAGACUAAAAAAUGUAAGAUAGCUUCUGGAGAUAUUGCUAAAGCUUUCCUCUCCCUCAAAUCACCUCUCCAAGUUCCGCCUCCUAGAGAAACUUACUGAAAACUGGCUAGAAAAUGCUGAAUAAUGAAUGCUCAAAUGAGAAAGAUGAUGUGUAAAAGCAAAAAACUGUUGCUAACUGCAUCCAUUCACAGAUCUAUGCCUUUUGCCUGUUUGCACUGGUAAACAAUAUGUAAUAAGUUCCUUUUUAAAAAAUAAAACAUAAUUAAA
rnacentral:lncRNA from 1 species